GCCUCGUUGGUGUGUGAGUGUGGUGGUGGUGGUGGUGGUGGUGGUUGUGCUGAGCUCGGUGGUGGUGAGUGGAGGAAGGAAGAACGAGAAGACCUGCAACAACGACCUAAAAAACGACAUUAGCAACAACAAAAACAAAAACAUAACUGUACUACUGCUGUACUACUACUACUACUACUACUACUACUACUACUACUACUACUACUACUGUUACUACUUCUACAGCCACACCAGCGACAAUCUAAUCAACGUAACCAACAAAACCCAAACAAAAAAGACAAUCAAGCAAACAGGAAAAAAAAAUUAAGAAAAAACAAGAAAAAUGACAGUAAGAGUGAUACCAACCACAUGGGAACUUACCUGCGACUCACCUUGAGGACUCACCUUGAUUGCUUACCUGGAGAGUCUUCUGAAUUACCUCUUGGGAGGGUGAUGGCGUCGCAUUACCUGUCUCACCACCUGACCCUCCUCCUAAUAGUAGUGGUGGUGGGUGAUGUUACCUUUGCUGGAUCAAAAUCAUUUGGAGGAGGAGGAGGAGGAGGAGGAGGAGGAGGAGGAGGGAGAGGGCUACGGAAAAAUCAGGAUUAUGUGAUUAUUGGUCGUCAGGUGAGGGAGAUCUCUUCGCAAACACAUAUCACCAACACCUCCUCCUCCUCUUCUUCGUUUUCUUCCCUCAACUCCAUAGGGAAGACUUCGGAGGGGGGUGAGGGGCAGGGUGAGGUGAUAGAAGACGGGGUAACAUCUCAAAUCACCCCUUAUCACACCUCUGCCCCACCCAGCUCUCCGCCACCCCUCACUUCUCCCACCCUACUUACCUUUCCUUCACACCUAUCUACACCGCCAUCAUCACCUGUCCCCACCUGGUCUACUUCACUUUCUUCAUCUUCUUCACCUUCCUCUCCAUCUUUUUCUUCUUCACCUUUCUUAUUCUCUUUUUCUGCUUCUUCAGUCUCACCCACAACGUUUAAGGGGACUUUUUCUUCUUUGUCCUUUGAGUCAUCAUCAUCAUCUUCUUCUUCUUCUUUUUCUUCUUCUUCUUCUUCUUCUUCUUCUUCUUCUUCUUCUUCUUCUUCUUCUCUCUCUUCCACUUUUUUGACCGACACCCCUUCUACUACUACCAUAGACCCUACCACUGCUACGACAACUACUACUACCACUACCACCACACAUUCUAGACUCAAUCUUCUACUGGAGGAGGAGGAGGAAGAGGAAGAGGUGGAAGAGGAAGAAGAAGCACUCAUAUCAAGAAUAACAAGAGGUGAUGAUAGUGGUGAUGACGAAGAACGGGAAACAGUGAAGGUGACCAGCAAGCCCUCCUCGGAACUCCAGAAUCUCACCCCAUCAUUUAGGGCACGUGAUAAAGGUGAUAAGGGGGCUGCUGGGGUGUGGCUGCUUGUCCUGGUGAGGCUACGGGGGGAGUGUGACGCCGUGGACAUGUCAAACACGGAGGAAGUCUUCAAGGAUUUCGUGAUGUCCUUCUCCUCGCUCCUUUUGUACCCGCAGGAGACGAUACGCGUCGAGGACAUGAAAUGUGGGGGCCAGAACCUAUCCGUCAAUCUCACCAUCAACACCGCCCAUCAACCAAACUGCGAGGCGGACUUGGCAACACUGACCACACAUAGAAACCUCAGAAUCAACCUCCACGGUGCCUCCUUCUAUAUCGAGACCUACAAGACCGAGAGAUCUCAUGUCUUCGAGACCAAGCCAGGGCGGAAACACGAUGGGGUCAAAUUCCUAUACAUGGCUCUAGGCGGCGUUGGCGUGUCUCUGGCCUGCGUGGCUUUAGCAGCGGUGGCGUUUGCGGGGUACCAACACUGCGCCGUCAGGAGAGCCAAGCUGGUCUUCGCGGAUGAUGGGACCGUUUACAUCCCUGGGUCGUCCUGCCGAAGUAAACACAAGGAAACAGAUCACCGGGUUAGGUUUGCCGACGCUCACUCCUUCACCGUCAACAUGUACAGAAGUUACAGUGACCUAAGUUCGCCUGAAAUAUUCCAAGCUCCCAGGGACGUUACUGAUGGCAAGAGGACAUGUGCACGAAAAGCUAGGGAGACGAUGUGGGAGGAGUCUGUAUCUCGCAGCGCCCAAGAAUACACGUCCGUUAGUGGCCUCAGCUCCUUCCGGCCAGAUGAUAUAGUCCUACAUCCACUCCUGGUCAAUGGGUGGCCUAACUCAGGUGUGGAGGCAGGGGGGAAAGGUGCAACAGGUGGGAAGACAAAUGAGAAGAAAGGCAGUGCCAAGACAGACGGAAAGACACGUAAAGGUGUCAAGCCAGUCACUGAUAACAACCUGGAUUCAGGCACACAGGUGAACACAGCUGAUAAAUCAGGUACAGGUGAGCUAGGUGCGAACACAGACUCAGGUAUAGGUGUGACAUCAGGACAGGACGCCAAAAAAGCCCCGAAGAAGCCCAAGACAGGUAAAGGGAAGCCGACCUCACCUGGCCCUCCCUCUCACCUGUCCCCACCAUCCCCUGAGAUAGCCAGAGGUGUGCUGGAGAGGAUGGGUCACCUGGAUCACCUGUUUGCCCACGCCCUGUCCUCCAGCUCACCUGAAGUCAACGCACAUGCCACCGUCAGCGUCUCAGAGCUAUACACGCUAACCCCUACCGUCGCCUCCACCACCACCUCCACCACCUCACUCUUCACCCAUGCCCCUAGCCCACGCCCCCCGCCCAAGACCCAGGGGCAUCCAGGGGGGGUUGGGGAGAAUGCCGCAGCACCCCCACCCGGCCCCCCUCCUACCUCGAACUCCACGGAUAGUCUGUGUCUGACGAGGAUCACUUUUAUGGAGAUGUGUGUGUGGCCGGAGAGUCCAAAGACGCCAAAGGGAAAAAGGGAGGAGAAAAAGGAGGUUAGGCCAAGAAAAGGGAAGUAACAGCAUCCCUUUCUCACCCUUUUUCAUCCUUUCCCACCCAAGAUACCAAAGGAAAAGGGAGGAGAAAAUGGUGAGGCCUAGGAAAGGGAGGUAACAACAUCCCUUUUUCAUCCUUUUUCAUCCUUUUUCACCCAAGAUACCAAAGGAAAAGGGAGGAUAAAAAGGAGGUGAUGCCAAGAAAAGGGAAGUAACAGCAUCCCUUUCUCACCCUUUUUCAUCCUCUUCCACCCAAGAUACCAAAGGUAAAGGGAGGAGAAAAAGGAGGUGAGGCCAAGGAAAGGGAGGUAACGGUGCCCUUUCCUCAGCCAUUUGUGGAUAGUCCUUAUACGCUGUUCACCUAACCUUUGCGAAUAAGCUCCUCCCCCUCCCCUCUCUCAUUGGUAAUUUCUCAAACAAGCCACGCCCCCUCUCGGAGUCAAGCUGCUUGUGAUUGGUGGAUGCUGGGGAAGGUUAAGUCCCAUAGAUUGGUUCGUCACCCUUUUGUUUGUGUUCUUUUUUAGACAUCCUUUAGAACCUCUCAUCGUAGUUAACCUUUGGACCCCUUAGAGAGAGAGAGAGAGAGAGAGAGAGAGAGAGAGAGAGAGAGAGAGAGACUGUCCAUUUUUACCUUUACUCCCAUUUACUCUCAUUUUAGAUGCCGUGGUAGUGGUAGUUGUGGUGGUAGUGAUGGUGGUUGUGGUGGUGGUGGUUGAUUUAUAAUAUUGGCCGUUUGUUAUCACAUUGUUGUUUCUUCGCUUUAUUUCAAUUAUUUCGUAUUUUUAUUUUCACCAUUUUACAGGUAUUUUUUUACUCUUUCCUUUUUUUUUUUUUUGCUAUAUUCAAUGUAGUUUGUUCUGUUUUAAUGUUUCCCGUUUUUGUGUAUGAUUAUUUUGAUUUAACUUUAUUUUUUUUUAUCCAGGACAACGUCUUCUCAUGUUCCUUUUAUUUGUGUUAUGUGUUGUUCUUUUGUUUGUUUGUUAAAAUUGAGCUUGUUUUUUU